rnacentral:rRNA from 1 species
GAUGAACGCUAGCGGCAGGCCUAACACAUGCAAGUCGAACGGUAACAGGAAUUAGCUUGCUAAUUUGCUGACGAGUGGCGCACGGGUGCGUAACGCGUAUACAAUCUACCUUUUGCUGAGGGAUAGCCCAGAGAAAUUUGGAUUAAUACCUCAUAGUAUUAUUGAGUGGCAUCAUUUAAUAAUUAAAGGUUACGGCAAAAGAUGAGUAUGCGUACCAUUAGUUUGUUGGUAAGGUAACGGCUUACCAAGACUACGAUGGUUAGGGGUCCUGAGAGGGAGAUCCCCCACACUGGUACUGAGACACGGACCAGACUCCUACGGGAGGCAGCAGUGAGGAAUAUUGGACAAUGGACGAGAGUCUGAUCCAGCCAUGCCGCGUGCAGGAAGACUGCCCUAUGGGUUGUAAACUGCUUUUAUACAGGAAGAAUAAGGUCUACGUGUAGACUGAUGACGGUACUGUAAGAAUAAGGACCGGCUAACUCCGUGCCAGCAGCCGCGGUAAUACGGAGGGUCCGAGCGUUAUCCGGAAUUAUUGGGUUUAAAGGGUCCGUAGGCGGAUGAUUAAGUCAGAGGUGAAAGUUUGCAGCUCAACUGUAAAAUUGCCUUUGAUACUGGUUAUCUUGAGUUGUAUUGAAGUAGGCGGAAUAUGUAGUGUAGCGGUGAAAUGCAUAGAUAUUACAUAGAACACCAAUUGCGAAGGCAGCUUACUAAGUACUAACUGACGCUGAUGGACGAAAGCGUGGGUAGCGAACAGGAUUAGAUGCCCUGGUAGUCCACGCCGUAAACGAUGGAUACUAGCUGUUCGGGACCUUGAGUUCUGAGCGGCUAAGCGAAAGUGAUAAGUAUCCCACCUGGGGAGUACGUUCGCAAGAAUGAAACUCAAAGGAAUUGACGGGGGCCCGCACAAGCGGUGGAGCAUGUGGUUUAAUUCGAUGAUACGCGAGGAACCUUACCAGGGCUUAAAUGUAGUCUGACAGCUU